ACCGCUAUUGGGAUUCGAUAAUCCAUGCGAGUCGAGUAUCUUAGGACUCGGCAUACCGCUCAGUAACACGUGGGUAACCUGCACCUAUGCUGGGGAAUAACCUCGGGCAAACUGAAAAUAAUGCCCCAUAGUCCACCAUGCCUGGAACUGAGUUAGGUGGAUCAAAGCCCCAGCCGGCUUAGGAUGGGCCUGCUUGCGUAUCAGGUUGUAGGGGGUGUAACAGUACCCUCUAGCCAUCAACGCGUACGGGUGUUGGGAGACAUAGCCCGGAGAUGGAUUCUGAGACACGAAUCCAGACCCUACGGGGUGCAGCAGGCGCGAAAACUUGGCAAUGCGAGAAAUCGUGACCAGGGAACUCCAAGUGGCUGGGGUAAGACCCAGUCUUUUCUUGACUCUUCAAAGGUCUUGGAAUAAGGGGUGGGUAAGGACGGUGCCAGCCGCCGCGGUAAUACCGGCGCCUCAAGUGGUAGUCGAUUUUAUUGGGCCUAAAACGUCCAUCGCCUGUUUGGUACAUUCGUGGGUAAAUCAACCAGCUCAACUGGUUGAAUUCUGCGAGCACGGGC
rnacentral:rRNA from 1 species